UUUUAAUUGAAGGCUUGUAUGAACGGUCGGACAAAGGAUAAGCUGUCUCUGUUUUUGUUUUUGAACUUGUCUUUCAAGUGAAAAGACUUGAAUAAAUUUAAGGGACGAUAAGACCCUAUAAAUCUUUAUAUUAAUUUAUAUUUAUUUUAAUUUUUAAUGUAAACGUAAAAUAAAUUUAUUUGAUAUUAUAUUGGGGUGAUAAGAAUAAUAAAUAAACUGUUCUAAAUAAAACAAAGUUGUUUGGUUAAAUAAUAGAUCCUUUCUAGAGAUUAAGAGUUUAAGUUACUUUAGGGAUAACAGCGUUAUUUUUUUUGAGAGUUCUAAUCGAAAAAAAAGUUUGCGACCUCGAUGUUGAAUUAAAAUUUCUUCAUAGUGCAGGAGCUAUGAUAGAGAGUCUGUUCGACUUUUAAAAUUUUACGUGAUCU
rnacentral:rRNA from 1 species